UACGUAGGGUGCAAGCGUUGCCCGGAUUUAUUGGGCGUAAAGGGCGCGUAGGCGGCUCUGCACGUUCGUUGUGAAAUCGCCCGGCUCAACUGGGCGGGGUCAGCGGAUACGGCAGAGCUUGAGCAAGCUAGGGGGCAAUGGAAUUCCCGGUGUAGUGGUGGAAUGCGUAGAUAUCGGGAGGAACACCAGUGGCGAAGGCAGAUCUCUGGGCCGUAACUGACGCUGAGGAGCGAAAGCAUGGGGAGCGAACAGG
rnacentral:rRNA from 1 species